rnacentral:rRNA from 1 species
GGAAGGAUCAUUAACGAGUAACUGAACAGGUUGUAGCUGGCCUUUCGGGGCAUGUGCACACCUGGCUCAUCCACUCUUCAACCUCUGUGCACUUGUUGUAGGUCGGUAGAAGAGCGAGCAUCUAAUGCUUGCUUGGAAGCCUUCCUAUGUUUUACUACAAACGCUUCAGUUUAAGAAUGUUUACCUGCGUAUAACGCAUUUAUAUACAACUUUCAGCAACGGAUCUCUUGGCUCUCGCAUCGAUGAAGAACGCAGCGAAAUGCGAUAAGUAAUGUGAAUUGCAGAAUUCAGUGAAUCAUCGAAUCUUUGAACGCACCUUGCGCUCCCUGGUAUUCCGGGGAGCAUGCCUGUUUGAGUGUCAUGGUAUUCUCAACCUUCAUAACUUUUGUUAUCGAAGGCUUGGACUUGGAGGUUGUGCUGGCUUCUAGUUAAGUCGGCUCCUCUUAAAUGUAUUAGCGUGAGUGUAACGGAUCGCUUCGGUGUGAUAAUUAUCUGCGCCGUGGCGGUGAAGUAACAUAAGCUUGCGCUUCUAACCGUCCUUCAGUUGGACAAUUACUUUGACAUCUGACCUCAAAUCAGGUAGGACU